rnacentral:rRNA from 1 species
GACGAACGCUGGCGGCGUGCCUAAUACAUGCAAGUAGAACGCAGUUGCGAACGGGUGAGUAAAUCGUACGUAACUGCCUGGUAGCCGGGGGUAACUAUUGGAUACGAUAGCCAAUUACUCAUACUACCAUAUGGACCUGCGUUGUAUUAGCUAGUUGGUGAGGUAACGGCUCACCAAGGCAACGAUACAUAGCCGCCCGGAAGAGGGGAACGGCCACAAGGGGACUGAGAAACGGCCCGGACUCCUUCGGGAGGCAGCAGUAGGGAAUCUUCGGCAAUGGGGGGAACGCUGACCGGGGAAAGCCGCGUGGGUGAAGAAGGUUUUCGGGUCGGAAAGAUCUGGUGGUAAGGAAGCGGUACUUAACCAGAAAGGGACGGCUAACUACGUGCCAGCAGCCGCGGUAAUUC